rnacentral:rRNA from 1 species
AAUCCCGCCGUGCCGAAGCUAACGCGAUAAGCAAUCCGCCUGGGGAGUACGGUCGCAAGACUGAAACCCAAGGGAAUUGACGGGGGCCCGCACAAGCGGUGGAGCAUGUGGUUCAAUUCGACGCAACGCGAAGAACCUUACCUGGGCUCGAAAUGUAGUGGACCGGGGUGGAAACAUCCCUUCCCGCAAGGGCUGCUAUAUAGGUGCUGCAUGGCUGUCGUCAGCUCGUGUCGUGAGAUGUUGGGUUAAGUCCCGCAACGAGCGCAACCCUUAUUGUCAGUUGCCAUCAUUCAGUUGGGCACUCUGGCGAAACCGCCUCGGAUAACGGGGAGGAAGGUGGGGAUGACGUCAAGUCCUCAUGGCCUUUAUGUCCAGGGCUACACACGUGCUACAAUGGUCGGUACAAACCGUCGCAAACCCGCGAGGGGGAGCUAAUCGGAAAAAGCCGACCUCAGUUCGGAUUGGAGUCUGCAACUCGACUCCAUGAAGCUGGAAUCGCUAGUAAUCGCGGAUCAGAACGCCGCGGUGAAUACGUUCCCGGGCCUUGUACACACCGCCCGUCACAUCACGGAAGUGGGCUGUACUAGAAGCCGGUGGGCUAACCGCAAGGAAGCAGCCGUCCAAGGUAUAACUCAUGAUUGGGGUGAAGU